GACGAACCGAGCGAACGUUGUUCGGAAUCACUGGGUUUAAAGGGUGCGUAGGAGGGCAGGUAAGUCAGUGGUGAAAUCUCCGAGCUUAACUUGGAACUGCCGUUGAUACUAUCUGCCUUGAAUAUUGUGGAGGUGAGCGGAAUAUGUCAUGUAGCGGUGAAAUGCUUAGAUAUGACAUAGAACACCAAUUGCGAAGGCAGCUCGCUACACAUAUAUUGACUCUGAGGCACGAAAGCGUGGGGAUCAAACAGG
rnacentral:rRNA from 1 species